GACGAACGCUGGCGGCGUGCUUAACACAUGCAAGUCGAACGGUAAGGCCCUUCGGGGUACACGAGUGGCGAACGGGUGAGUAACACGUGAGUAAUGUGCCCUUGACUCUGGGAUAACAGCCGGAAACGGUUGCUAAUACCGGAUAUACAUAUGUGCCUGCAUGGGUGUGUGUGGAAAGCUUUUGCGGUCUUGGAUCAACUCGCGGCCUAUCAGCUUGUUGGUGGGGUAAUGGCCUACCAAGGCUUCGACGGGUAGCCGGCCUGAGAGGGCGACCGGCCACACUGGGACUGAGAUACGGCCCAGACUCCUACGGGAGGCAGCAGUGGGGAAUAUUGCACAAUGGGCGGAAGCCUGAUGCAGCAACGCCGCGUGCGGGAUGACGGCCUUCGGGUUGUAAACCGCUUUCAGUAGGGACGAAGCGCAAGUGACGGUACCUACAGAAGAAGCACCGGCCAACUACGUG
rnacentral:rRNA from 1 species